rnacentral:sRNA from 1 species
GUGAGGGUGAUCUGGCUGUGACAUCUGUCACCUCAUUGAUCGCCAGGGUUGAUUUGGCUGAUCUGGCUGGCUAGGCAGGUGUCCCCUAGCUGGCUCCCUCACCA